GUGAGUGUAGUGAAGACGGUUAGGACGUUGGGCUACUGAUCGGAAGGUCAUGAGUUCGAUCCCCAGCACUGCCA